rnacentral:lncRNA from 1 species
AGUUUUUAAUCUUUAAGAAGAAUAUUUUAGUUCAGAAUAUUAUCUGAAUACCUUAAAAUAAAUGAUGGGAAGUUAACAUAGGAUGCUGUAGGAAUUUGAUGUAUGUGGUAAUAACAUGUUGCUAGAGAACUACAUAAUAGGAAACCUUUAUCAAUGUUAAAAUUGCAUUAUAGAUUGCCAAAUAAUAGGUCUUGAAAUAGAAAGUCUAUUAGAUUAUAUUAUUAGCCUUAUUAGUUUGGUGCAUAAAAAGCAACACAACUGUUUUGCUAAYAGCAUUAGCCAGCAUUAAUGUUUACAAGAGCAUUCACCGUACAUCACUUAGAGRAAAACACAGAAAUACCAAAAAAAACCCUAAACAUACAUAACUUCACUCCUAAAAUGAAUUUUAAUGAGGGAGAGUUUGGGUAAGGUUAUGAAAACCUGAAAUGCUAUCCUUCUUUCAGAGAUAAAUAUUAGAUAAUGCAGAGUCUUCUCUUGACGAUUUCCAGCAUACCAAGGGCAGAAAGUAAGACCUGUAAGAACGCAGGAUGGGGAGAGGAAAAGAAGACUGCUUCUGUUGCUCUUUUUCUGGAAGUUCAAAUCUUCCAAUUUCUUCCCUGUCUUUGGGUGGAGAUCAUAUUUCAAAGGCAUUACUAACCCUUAUUCUCCAAAAAGGUGAUCACCUGGACAGUUUUAGAGCAUCAAGAUGUCUUCCCUCAAGGGGGCUGAACUGACAAGGCAUGGCUGCUCGCUUUUAUCUUUGAAAUCCUCUAAUUUGUCAGCUUUGCUUGUGCUGCCUUUCAGUGUCUCUCUUUGAGACUUUUGGAUUCAUCAGGGGUGAGGACUAUGUAGCAGCUGUGCAAAUGUGUCCAGGCAGGUUUGAGUUAAAACUAGUUGAGGGUGAUUUAAAAUGAAAGAAUUCCACUCAAACCAACAACAUGAAAUAUUAGGUGUCUGUAUAUAUCAGAACAUGCAGAUCUGUGAUAUUCACCCAUGUCUCCAUCUCCAUUCACAAAUAACUAUGAAGAAUGGGACUAUUUUUUGAGCAAGUCAUUUUCUUGUCUGUGGAGGUCUGUAGUAGAAAAGUUUGGCUUAGCUCCCCCUCUCAGCAAAAUAGCUAUGCGAAAAGAUACAGUAGCAAGCAGUCGCUCAACAUUAAUUCAUCUGUAAAACUGAAAAUAAAUCUGAGCACUGUUUCUUGAAUUUAAUAAAG